rnacentral:rRNA from 1 species
AACGAACGCUGGCGGCGCGCCUAAUACAUGCAAGUCGAGCGAGAAGACGUAGCAAUACGUUUGUAAAGCGGCGAACGGGUGAGGAAUACAUGGGGUAACCUACCCUCGAGUGGGGAAUAACUAGCCGAAAGGUUAGCUAAUACCGCGUACGCUCCUUGGACUUCGGUUCAGGGAGGAAAGCGAUACCGUGGGUAUCGCGCUCUUGGAUGGGCUCAUGUCCUAUCAGCUUGUUGGUGAGGAACGGCUCACCAAGGCUUCGACGGGUAGCUGGUCUGAGAGGACGAUCAGCCACACUGGCACUGCGACACGGGCCAGACUCCUACGGGGAGGCAGCAGUAAGGAAUAUUGCGCAAUGGGCGAAAGCCUGACGCAGCGACGCCGCGUGGGGGAUGAAGGUCUUC